UAAUCGGCACCGCUCGAAGGUGCCGCGACGAUCGCUGUCGCGGAGAAUCGGGAAGCAGGUGAAAUUCCUGCGCUGCCCCCGCAACGGUAGAUGCGCGCCUUGCGCAAAGCCCGGAGACCGGCCUUCCUGAUGGUGACUGC
rnacentral:ncRNA from 2 species